rnacentral:lncRNA from 1 species
AUACAUACAUACAUACAUACAUACAUACAUACAUACAUACAUACAUACAUACAUACAUACAUACAUAUUAUCCACUUUCCUAACCUGUGUACAUAAAUGAUAGUAUAGUCACAAAUCAUACAUACAUUAUAAUAUACAUACAUAUAUACAUACAUACACGUUGUUUAUAUGAAUACGUUCUUACAUGUGAUGGUAGUAUUAAUGUUCUUCUCAGUAUAUGUUCUUGUUCACCAUCACUCACUAUAGGCGAAGCUCAGUGUUAUAGUGAACAAAAUGUGCUCAAGAUACUGUAGGUGUGGAUAUAUAUUCCGGGGUUCAUUUUAAUUCAAAGGAUUUUUUUUUUUUUACGUGAAGUUCAGUUUCGUUUUAGGGGUUCAGUCUGAAUUAUGGAGAGUUCAGAAUCGUUCCGGGGUUCAUUUUGUAUGGAAGGAGUUCAGUUGUGUUUUUUGUGUUCAGUUUGUAUUGUGAAGAGUUCAGUAUUGUUUCGAGUGGUUUAUUUUGUACUCAGUAUCGUUCCGGGGGUUCAUUUUGUGGCACAGGCGUUCAACUUGUUUCUUGAGGUUUACUUUCAAUUUCAGAUCAAUAUUUUUAGUUCCUUGGAUUUAUAGAUCAGUUUGGGGUUCAUUCUAGGACUUAACUUAUGGAUUCAAUUUUAAGUUCAAGUCUGGAUUCAAUUUUGGGUGUCAACUUUGACUUCCAAUCCGACAGUAACGAUAACAGUCAGAAACGCCAGUGUAGGCAGACGGGAGACAACCGAGCCUUCAUCUAAUGGAGAGGUAAACAAACGCCAGACGCUCCUGGUGGCUCGUGUUGGCGAUGGAUGAUAUGGUGAAGUACGGGUCCUAAAAGCCUUGGAAGGAUUCUCCUCUGUGGGGGAAGCACAUCCUAAGCUCUCAAGGGGGAUGGGAGAUAGAAGGAUAACUUCACUAAGAGAGGAGAAUUACUUUGAUUUUGAAUUUGAAAUCUAAUGUAAGUUUGAGAAGAGGAAUGCUACUUUGAUUUUGACUUUUGAGUUAGAUCACUAGCGUAAAAUUGAAGAUGAAUCAUUAUGUACGCUCAAGGGUCGAUGAAUUUUGUUUGUUUCAAGAAGCCAACUGCAUUCGAUUUAGAUUUAGAUGAAUAUUGUGAAUUUGAUGACUAUUUCGGGUAUAAGUGUUAGCCUUAGAAAGCAAAUAGGUCAAACUGUAAGGGAAUUCUCUCAAAAAAAUUGUGAGAAUUACUUAAUGAAGGUUAAUACGCCCGCGACAGGCUCAGUAGGACAGGUAAGAGGGUUGUCACUGUCCCAAAUUAUUGCUCAUGUCUUAUUGAGAUCCGUAAACGACUAGUACAGGUAGAUGUAACAUAAGGACUAUUUUUGUUAGACGAGAGUGUAUAUUGUGUAUGUAUGUUAAGAAAGUGUAAUGGGGUGCUAUAUUGAAAGGGUGAUUAAGGGUGAUUAAGGGAGAUUAUUUCCAUUAGGGUGAUUAUGAUAUAAGGUUAUAGGUAAGAUUAUCCAUAAAAUAAUACGUAGUUAACACAUGCAUUAACACGUCACUUAAAGAUAAUUCAAAAAGCAAUAUUUUCUUUGUUUGUACAGUAGAUAUCAAGUCUAUUGUACUGGAUAGUAAACCGUAUUUUUUUUCCCAUGAUAGAUAUGUCGUAGUUUCCAUAGUGGACAAAAUUUCUUUAUCUAACAGAGGAAGAUUUAAUCUCCCUUAUUAAUGACUUAACUAACGCAGGUGCUAUACAGAGUGUGCUGAGGAGAGCGAGGUAACUUAACUAAUUAACUAACUCAAGACUUCACUAUAAGCAUCAACACUGUCUUCUCCAUUCCGUGUAUAUAUAUAUAUCAAUAACUAACGAAAUAACGACGUGAUUGAUGCUACCCGGAUAACUGAUUGUUAUACAAAAGAAACAACUAUUUUCUCCUGUUAUAGAUAUUUAAUACUAUCUUGUAUAUGUGGGUAUAGUGUGGGUGUUAGUAUUUCCUCCCCGCUCUUGGCUACGUGUCUGGAUAAUGAUAACUAAUCCCUCUGCGUGUUGUGGUGUUAAGCUUAUACGUGUGUUCUUUGGUUGAUCAAUUUUUCACCUGUGUGUAUAUACCCGGAGGAGAUAAUUAUUUUGUCUUUGUUUAUCUAGUAGGAAUUUAUAUCGUCACUAUGUUCUUAGAGAAAUAAUUGCUCACACUUCGCUUGUAUGUCUGUUAUUAAUGUGGAAAUAAACAGAGAACAAGGUAAAGAUAUUAUCCAAUUAUAUUAUAUCAGUUUUUACAUUCCUUCUUAUUAUUUUCUUGACGGUGUGGUACUGGUGACGCCCCUCAGUGUUUCUUACUUGCUUGGUGUCUACCCAUUAUCUUACAACAGUGAACAGUAAGGGAGUUUUAAUGGUCACUCAAUGCAUAACAGUAGAGCGUCACUAAUGGGAAAUAAUUCAGAGUCUUAUAGGUGAAUUAUCGUAAUACAACACAAGGCCACGAAUUAUUAUUUUUUUAUUUGUAUGAUUUAUCUCAAGUACUUAAUGGGUUAAUGGCCUUCAUGUUUAGCGGUGUAUAUCCAUGUAUCGUUUUGUUAUGAUUUUAUUGUACUUUGAUAAAUAAUAAUACUACGAUGGCGUACAUAUUCAGGAAAAUUUAAAGGUCUGUUGAGUUAAAGUUUAGCUAAUAUAUUAAGGCGAUGUGUGAAUGUCUCUCUGUGUGCUUGGGUAAUAUGUUAUUUUCUUACUUUGUUGUGGUUAGAUUAGGUUAGGUUAGGUUAGGUUAGGUUAGGUCAAGAAAACUUAUUCUGUGACUUACGAUGAGUCACAAGUCAGUCAAUGUGUUGUUUACCAAUCAGUCACAUCUAACAGUCAGUAAUGAUAACAGAGUGUGACUGUUUUACUCUUUUUUGUCUAUAAUAUCGUAACACUUGUCACCUCCUGUGAUCUAAAUGUUAUGUAACGUGUCCGAGAUAUAUUUUUUCUUUGGUAAUACUCUAUCUGAUAAAUCCUAUACAGGUCUAUCCUACUGUAAUAAUAUCCAAGUGAAUAUGUAUCACUUGACUGUAACUGCCAAAAUACAGUAGGAUACAUAAAUGCUCUAAUACCACGAAUAAUUAUGUGUUAUUACAGGAGAAAAAUCACACAUAGACACAGAUUAUAUACGAUACAUAGAGCUCACCUGUAUCCCACUACGCCCACCAUCGUCUGUAACAGGUUAAUUAAAUGUCAUGUUGAGGGAAUAUGAUAUCCUAUAGGACAUCUCCUUCUUGACCUGUACCCUACGUGGUGGUGUAUAGGACCACCUAAGUCUUCAUCCCUGUACACAACAAUGUCAAUAAAAACAGUUCUCUGGA